rnacentral:rRNA from 1 species
GAUGAACGCUGGCGGCGUGCCUAAUACAUGCAAGUCGAGCGAACAUACGAGGAGCUUGCUCCUCUGACGUUAGCGGCGGACGGGUGAGUAACACGUGGAUAACCUACCUAUAAGACUGGGAUAACUUCGGGAAACCGGAGCUAAUACCGGAUAACAUGUUGAACCGCAUGGUUCAACAGUGAAAGACGGUCUUGCUGUCGCUUAUAGAUGGAUCCGCGCCGCAUUAGCUAGUUGGUAAGGUAACGGCUUACCAAGGCAACGAUGCGUAGCCGACCUGAGAGGGUGAUCGGCCACACUGGAACUGAGACACGGUCCAGACUCCUACGGGAGGCAGCAGUAGGGAAUCUUCCGCAAUGGGCGAAAGCCUGACGGAGCAACGCCGCGUGAGUGAAGAAGGUCUUCGGAUCGUAAAACUCUGUUAUUAGGGAAGAACAAAUGUGUAAGUAACUAUGCACGUCUUGACGGUACCUAAUCAGAAAGCCACGGCUAACUACGUG